rnacentral:rRNA from 1 species
UACGUAGGGGGAUAGCGUUGUCCGGAUUUAUUGGGCGUAAAGAGCGUGUAGGCGGCCAGGUAGGUCUGCUGUGAAAACUCGAGGCUCAACCUCGAGACGUCGGCGGAAACCAUCUGGCUAGAGUCCGGAAGAGGAGAGUGGAAUUCCUGGUGUAGCGGUGAAAUGCGCAGAUAUCGGGAGGAACACCAAUGGCGAAGGCAGCUCGCUGGGACGUUACUGACGCUGAGACGCGAAAGCUAGGGGAGCGAAUGGG